GGCUUGUUGAUUAUAAUUUUAAGUCGGGCCUGCUCUAUGAGAUUUUAAAUGGCUGCGGUAUAUUGACCGUACAAAGGUAGCAUAAUCAUUAGUUUUUUAAUUGGGAGCUAGUAUGAAAGGUUUAAUGAAAAAAUUACUGUCUCUAGAAGAAUUUAUUAGAAUUUUAUUUCUAAGUUAAAAAGCUUAGAUAAUAAUUGAAGACGAGAAGACCCUAUAGAGUUUUAUAUUUAUAUCUAUUAGAUAUUUUUAGAAUUAAAAGGUAUGUAAUAGAUAUAAUUAUUUUGUUGGGGUGAUGGAAAAAUUUAAUUAACUUUUUUUACAUAAGAACAUUAAUUUAUGGUUAAGAGAUCCUAAUUUUAAGAUUUGAAGAUUAAAUUACCUUAGGGAUAACAGCGUAAUCUUUUCGAGAGUUCUUAUUGAAAGGAGGGAUUGCGACCUCGAUGUUGGAUUAAAUUGAAUUGUUGGUGUAGGUGCUAAUUUAUUAGGUCUGUUCGACCUUUAAAAUUUUACAUGAUCUGAGUUUAAACCGGUGUGAG
rnacentral:rRNA from 1 species